rnacentral:rRNA from 1 species
UACGUAGGUCCCGAGCGUUGUCCGGAUUUAUUGGGCGUAAAGCGAGCGCAGGUGGUUUAUUAAGUCUGGUGUAAAAGGCAGUGGCUCAACCAUUGUAUGCAUUGGAAACUGGUAGACUUGAGUACAGGAGAGGAGAGUGGAAUUCCAUGUGUAGCGGUGAAAUGCGUAGAUAUAUGGAGGAACACCGGUGGCGAAAGCAGCUCUCUGGCCUGUAACUGACACUGAGGCUCGAAAGCGUGGGGAGCAAACAGG